GUUAAGUUGCAGGGUAUAGACCCGAAACCCGGUGAUCUAGCCAUGGGCAGGUUGAAGGUUGGGUAACACUAACUGGAGGACCGAACCGACUAAUGUUGAAAAAUUAGCGGAUGACUUGUGGCUGGGGGUGAAAGGCCAAUCAAACCGGGAGAUAGCUGGUUCUCCCCGAAAGCUAUUUAGGUAGCGCCUCGUGAAUUCAUCUCCGGGGGUAGAGCACUGUUUCGGCAAGGGGGUCAUCCCGACUUACCAACCCGAUGCAAACUGCGAAUACCGGAGAAUGUUAUCACGGGAGACACACGGCGGGUGCUAACGUCCGUCGUGAAGAGGGAAACAACCCAGACCGCCAGCUAAGGUCCCAAAGUCAUGGUUAAGUGGGAAACGAUGUGGGAAGGCCCAGACAGCCAGGAUGUUGGCUUAGAAGCAGCCAUCAUUUAAAGAAAGCGUAAUAGCUCACUGGUCGAGUCGGCCUGCGCGGAAGAUGUAACGGGGCUAAACCAUGCACC
rnacentral:rRNA from 1 species